GUGGAUUAGAUACCCUGGUAGUCCACGCCCUAAACGAUGAUCACUCGAUGUGUGCGAUACACUGUACGCGUCUGAGCGAAAGCAUUAAGUGAUCCACCUGGGGAGUACGACCGCAAGGUUGAAACUCAAAGGAAUUGACGGGGGCCCGCACAAGCGGAGGAGCAUGUGGUUUAAUUCGAUGAUACGCGAGGAACCUUACCAGGGCUUGAAAGUUAGUGAAUGAUGUGGAAACAUGUCAGUCAGCAAUGACACGAAACUAGGUGCUGCACGGCUGUCGUCAACU
rnacentral:rRNA from 1 species